rnacentral:rRNA from 1 species
GACGAACGCUGGCGGCGUGCUUAACACAUGCAAGUCGAACGGAAAGGCCCUGCUUUUGUGGGGUGCUCGAGUGGCGAACGGGUGAGUAACACGUGAGUAACCUGUCCUUGACUUUGGGAUAACUUCAGGAAACUGGGGCUAAUACCGGAUAGGAGCUCCUGCUGCAUGGUGGGGGUUGGAAAGUUUCGGCGGUUGGGGAUGGACUCGCGGCUUAUCAGCUUGUUGGUGGGGUAGUGGCUUACCAAGGCUUUGACGGGUAGCCGGCCUGAGAGGGUGACCGGCCACAUUGGGACUGAGAUACGGCCCAGACUCCUACGGGAGGCAGCAGUGGGGAAUAUUGCACAAUGGGCGGAAGCCUGAUGCAGAAACGCCGCGUGCGGGAUGACGGCCUUCGGGUUGUAAACCGCUUUCGCCUGUGACGAAGCGUGAGUGACGGUAAUGGGUAAAGAAGCACCGGCUAACUACGUG